GGAUCAUAUCAUCUUCAUCUUGUAAUUCUAGUGCUUACUUUGCUCAUGGUUGUUGAAUAAAUGAAUGAAGAGUGAGAAAGCCAGGAGCUCUGAUAUUUAACCACAAGGAUAAUUAAUUCAGUGUGCAACCACGGCUGCUGCUGAAUUGGAAUCUGGAUCAAUAGCUUCCCCUCUAGGAUCUACUGAUGAGUCAAAUCUAAAUCAAGAUCUAGUUUGGAAAGCAUCAAGAGAAUAUUGGGCAUUCCCAGAAGUCAGGACAUUCUACAUAACUACAAUGCAAACCUUGCAAUCAGAAAGUCAACAUUAAUACAUUC
rnacentral:lncRNA from 1 species